rnacentral:rRNA from 1 species
GAUCCUGGCUCAGGAUGAACGCUGACGGCGUGCUUAACACAUGCAAGUCGAACGAAGCACUUACGACAGAACUUUUUCGGAGGGAAGAUGUUUGUGACUGAGUGGCGGACGGGUGAGUAACGCGUGGGUAACCUGCCUUAUACAGGGGGAUAACAGUUGGAAACGACUGCUAAUACCGCAUAAGCGCACGGUAUCGCAUGAUACAGUGUGAAAAACUCCGGUGGUAUAAGAUGGACCCGCGUCUGAUUAGCUAGUUGGUGAGGUAACGGCCCACCAAGGCGACGAUCAGUAGCCGGCCUGAGAGGGUGAACGGCCACAUUGGGACUGAGACACGGCCCAAACUCCUACGGGAGGCAGCAGUGGGGAAUAUUGCACAAUGGGGGAAACCCUGAUGCAGCGACGCCGCGUGAGUGAUGAAGUAUUUCGGUAUGUAAAACUCUAUCAGCAGGGAAGAUAAUGACGGUACCUGACUAAGAAGCACCGGCUAAAUACGUG